rnacentral:tRNA from 1 species
UCCCUGGUGGUCCAGUGGUUAGGACUCCAGACUUCCACUGCAGGGGGCACAGGUUCAAUCCCUGAUUGGGGAA